CUACGGGGGGCUCCAGUAGGGAAUUUUCGGCAAUGGGGGAAACCCUGACCGAGCAACGCCGCGUGAAUGACGAAGUACUUCGGUAUGUAAAGUUCUUUUAUUAGGGAAGAAUGGCAGGUGGAAAAACCUGAUUGACGGUACCUAAUGAAUAAGCCCCGGCUAACUAUGUGCCAGCAGCCGCGGUAAUACAUAGGGGGCAAGCGUUAUCCGGAAUUAUUGGGCGUAAAGGGUGCGUAGGUGGUUAUUUAAGUCUUUGGUGUAAGUGCAGUGCUUAACGCUGUGAUGCUAAAGAAACUGGGUAACUUGAGUGUGGUAGAGGCAAGUGGAAUUCCAUGUGUAGCGGUAAAAUGCGUAAAUAUAUGGAGGAACACCAGUGGCGAAGGCGGCUUGCUGGGCCACAACUGACACUGAGGUACGAAAGCGUGGGGAGCAAACAGGAUUAGAUACCCCUGUAGUC
rnacentral:rRNA from 1 species